rnacentral:snRNA from 1 species
AUACUUACCUGGCAGGGGAGAUACCAUGAUCACGAAGGUGGUUUUCCCAGGGCGAGGCUUAUCCAUUGCACUCCGGAUGUGCUGACCCCUGCGAUUUCCCCAAAUGUGGGAAACUCGACUGCAUAAUUUGUGGUAGUGGGGGACUGCGUUCGCGCUUUCCCCCC